UUGUAUAACUAACACACAAUUUCGAUGUUGAAAUAGCAAAUUGGAUGUUGAGUAGUUCAUUUUCAAAGAUACCUUGUCCAAAAUGACUAGAUGAACCAAUGAAUCUAACGGGUGUACCGCUAGGUCCAACAUCCGAAUUGUAACGGAAUAUGCCAUUUGCACAAGGGGCAUCUGAAUUUGGGGACUUACCUAGGUACACAUCACCACCUAACGCACCCCAAAAAGUGGAAAUAAUACGAUAACUCAAACGAGAAUCAAGUUCUUUACCAGUUACGUCAAGUACUGGAGUAGCAUCACUAGGUAGGUUAAUGGGAUUUUGGGAAGUGAAAGUUGAUGAAAACACCACAAUGGGAACCAAACACAAACAUAACAAAAAUAAACACUUCAUCUUGUUUAAGCUACUAAUUUUAUUUGUGUAUUGCUUGUUUGUGACUCCUCUACACUAAUGAAGCCUUCUAUUUAUAGACUCAUCACACUCUCAUAUUCCUUGCCAUGUAUUAAAAAUGACUACAGUUCCUUAUUGUGUUGUUAUUACCCGUAAUUACUUAAAUGGUCAUUCAAUUAUAAUAAAUUUCUUAUCAAAUAUUAUUCAUUUUCUUCGUCUCAGUUUGUGUUGCACUUCUCGAAUUUAGAGGAUUCAAAUAAGAAUUUCUUUGUAAGUAAUUAUUUUUCUAUGUGUUUUAAUAUCUUGAAUUAUUAAAUAUUUGUGAUUUAUAUGUACUUUUUAUGUAUUCUUCAAAUAUGUAUAUAUAUUUUUUUUUUAAAAUUUCAUAUCUAAAUUUACGAUUAAAAUUAAACUAUUUAAUAAAUUUGACACGACGAAUUAAAAUCAUGAUGAAAUAUGUCUUCUUGUAUCAAAAAAUUCGUCAAGUAAGAGAGUUUAUCUAUCGAGUAAAUAUAGCUAGAAACAAAAAGAGAGAAUUAGAUUGAUUUAAAGGUUAAUAUAUAAUUCCCCUUUUGGUCAUUCCUCAUCCAUGUUAACAUUAACCUUCUUAUAAACUGUUGGUUAUUAAGCAUUUUAAUAUUAUUUUAUAUUAAAGUAGCUUUUUUAUUUGACUUAAUGCUGCCAAACCAUUUUUUUGGUCAUGUUAAUGCCAAUUAUUCUUGGCUUUAUUGGUCAGAUGUCAUAUAUCCUAUAACGUUCCAGUGAACGUUGUGGUCAACAUCUUGGGCAGUUUUGCAUUUCCACGUUAGAGGCAUUGGGUUACCCCCUGUCAAUUAUUCCAUUCUUAAUUCCUCCAUUAUCCUUGGUAACCCUAUAUAACUUCUAAGACUAUUAUCUUCACUAUUUUACUACAUCAUUUAUCUUCUUAUUCAUUGCUAGGAAGACUUCUUCUAGUAUAAAUAGUAGUGGUCUUCAUUUGGUUUAUGACACAAGGAAAAUAUAAAGUGCAUAAAGUUUGUCAAAAAAAGAGUUCUUAUUAGUUGAAGGGAGGUGUUCUUUUUUGUGGAGAUUUGGACUCAAAUCUUGUCCAGAGUUGUUGAGUUAUACUUUGUGAAGGCUGUUGUAUCCUGGAGGGGACAAGUCAAAAAGGACUACUGCUCGACCGAUAAAAAAACAUUUGCUGCAGUGAACUUGAAUCUCCUUAAAGAGAGCGAGAUAUCCGCGCCUCAACCAAAAGAGAUUUAUUUCUUCAUUUUUAUUUUCAAUUGUAAUCUUGUAAUUCUGUUAUUUUGUAANNNNNNNNNNNNNNNNNNNNNNNNNNNNNNNNNNNNNNNNNNNNNNNNNNNNNNNNNNNNNNNNNNNNNNNNNNNNNNNNNNNNNNNNNNNNNNNNNNNNNNNNNNNNNNNNNNNNNNNNNNNNNNNNNNNNNNNNNNNNNNNNNNNNNNNNNNNNNNNNNNNNNNNNNNNNNNNNNNNNNNNNNNNNNNNUUUUGUGGAGCUUUGGACUCAACUCUUGUCCAGAGUUGUUGAGUUAUACUUUGUGAAGGCUGUUGUAUCCUGGAGGGGACAAGUCAAAAAGGACUACUGCUCGACCGAUAAAAAAACAUUUGCUGCAGUGAACUUGAAUCUCCUUAAAGAGAGCGAGAUAUCCGCGCCUCAGCCUGAAGAGAUUUAUUUCUUCAUUUUUAUUUUCAAUUGUAAUCUUGUAUUUUUUGUUAUCUUGUAAGUUUUUUCACUAACAUAAACUAAUUCAGAGUGUAUGACUCUAAAAUCUACAUUCCUGCACAUAAUGACCCUACAACCUUGCAUUCCUUACAAUAAUUAGACAAAUAAUUAUACUGUUUCACUUUCACUGUCCUUAUUUCUCCAAUAUUUUCAUCUUUUAUAUUCAUUCUAACAUGAUCGGGUAAGUUUUCCAUCAAGUCCACCGAAACCUUCACUUUUGCACAACUAAGUCGAAUCUUAUUGAUUAUUGUCAUGUCAAGAUGUAAAGGAGUGUCAACUGAUCGAUUAUGCCGAUGAGAAAAUAGAUUCCUUCACAUAGCAUGUGAGUAAAAGAUUUGGAAAUGGAGUCCAAGCCACGACUCUUUUGAAUCUUGAAUGAUAAAUCGAUGGUCUUUAUGAAUUUGCAUGAGAGAGAGAAAAUAUAAUUAGUUCUUCAAAUCAAGCUUUCAAUUUUAUGGGUGUACUUAUACAUAUAGAAUUGGCAUAUUUUAUUUAAUAAACUAAUAGCAUGUUAAUUUGGCCAAGUUUCUGAAUUCUGAAAUCACCAUAUUUUGAAAGGUAUUUUUGGUAAGAAAAAAUCUGCAUUUAGCUAGUAAAUUUUAAAGUAGUUUUAAGUAGCAAUUGGUAUUUGACCAAUUUUGCUAUAAGUGUUUUAAGUGUAAAAAAUUUAUUUAAUUAUUUUUAAUUAUUAAAAGAUGAUUAUUUUUUUUGUAGAAUAGACUUAAAUGAAAAAACUGGUUACAUAAAUUGAUACUCCAUUUGUUUUAAUUUAUUUGAUUUUUUUUUUAGUUAGUCUAAAAAAUGACAUUUUCUUAUAUAAAUAAUAUUUAGUGACACUAUCAAUAUUUAUCUAUAUGGAUCCCACUUAUUUGCCAAACGCUAAUUUGGUACUCCCUCUGAUACAAUACAAGUGACUUGUUAGGAUGUGACAUCCUUAGAAAAUAUAUAAGACUCGUCUAUUUUUCAAUAUAAAAUAAUGUCAAUAAUUCAUUUAUAUUGAGUUAGAGGGAGUAACCCCUAAUAUGUACUUUGCUUUAUUUGUUCCACGUAGGAGAAUAGUCAUAAAACAUGAUUUUUAUGUGCUAUAGAUAAAGUUUUAACAAUAAAAUACUUAACGCAAGAAAAUACACAAAACAUGAUUUGCGUUAAUUGAUAGGAUAAAGACAGGAAAUGGGCCUUACUAAAUCAAUCAACCAAAGUAGAUGAUGACUCUUUCUUUUGAUCACAUAAAAUUAAUAAUAUAUUUUUAUUUCUUCAUAUUUUAUUUGUAAUUGGAGUUUAUUUUUCCUACAUUAAUUUUUUUUUUUGCUAACAAUCUUAUUGUGUAUGCUGAAACAUAUAAGGGUUGUUUGGUAGAGUGUAUUAAAAAAAAUAAUGCAUGCAUUAGCCUUGUGGUACUAGUACCUUGUUUGAUAUUCUUCUCCAACCUAUGUAUAACUAAUGCUUGCAUUCAAGUUUAAGAACGAUCAAAAUCAAGACCAUCAGAUUCAAGAAUAAGCUCGAAGCCCUUGAAUUCAAGUAAACGUCAAGAUCAAAAUAAAGUUCAAGUUCAUCGAAGAUUCAACAACAAGCUUUAAAGCCCUUGAAUCCAUUUUUAUCCUAUUUAGAAAAUUUAGUUUUAACCCACUCUGCCCUACACUCGUAUAUAUGCCUAAACCUGCCCCGUUCCUCAUAUGUGAUAUUAUUAUUUCAUUAUUAGGUAUAAGAUAGUAAACGAUAAGGAAAGACAAUUUAUUAAGAAAGCCAUGCUAAAAUAUAUAUAGAUAUACCUUAGCAGGUGUUUAUUUUACAACAUAACAUAGUAGCUGGCCAGCAGGCAGGCUAAAACAUAGUAUAGUCUAGCUGCAGGCAUUAUUUGUUACUAGACUUCCUGGAAUAAGACAUCAAGAGGAUUUUCGUUGACAAGAGCCAAACGCCUUUUUCCAUUUUGAAUAACUACACCCACUUUUGCACAAAACUGAUCCUCAGGGCAACGUAGACAAAUAAUAGAAGUAAAUGGGCAAGACAAUAAGUUGUAACCAAUUUUUGAUGAUUUAACAAUCUUGAAAUAGCUGUUAUCUGCUUGCCCUAUGGUUCCUCCGGUCUCCAACAACAUCGUCCUAAAAUAUGCAUUUAGAUUUCCGACUUUCCAAAUUGUAUAACUAACACACAAUUUCACUGUUGGAAUAUUGAAUUGUAUGUUGAGUAGUUGAUCUUCAAAGAUAUUUGUAGAUAAAGGAAUGAAUCUAACGGGUGUACCGCUAGGUCCAACAUCGGAAUUGUAACGGAAUACGCCAUCUGGACAAGGGGCAUCUGAAUUUGGGGACUUUCCUAGGUAUACAUCACCACCUAAGGCACCCCUACCAAUGGAAAUAAUGCGAUAACUCGAAUUAGGAUUGAGUUCUUUACCAUUUGUGUCAAGUACCGGCUUAGGUAGAGGAGAUUCACUGGGUAGGUCAAUGAGAUUUUGGGAAGUGAAAGUUGAUGAAAACACCACAAUGGGAACCAAACACAAACAUAACAAAAAUAAACACUUCAUCUUGUUUAAGCUACUGAUUUUAUUGCUU
rnacentral:lncRNA from 1 species